UCUCUCUCUCUCUCUCUCUCUCUCUCUCUCUCUCUCUCUCUCUCUCUCUCUCUCUCUCUCUCUCUCUCUCUCUCUCUCUCUCUCUCUAACCCAUGACCAAACAAUGAAUCUCUCUCUCUCUAUACAUGUUUUCUGUUCAAUCAGGGGAAAAGAGAAACAACACCGGCACCGCACCAAAUUAUGCAGAAUCUAUCCAGAGAACAAUCGGAAGAGGAAGAAAAGAAAUCGAAUCCGAAUACGAAUCCAAUCCUCGACUCAAUUCUUAUUGAAGGAUGAAGGAGAGGGAGGGGUAAGGCAAGAAGGUGAAGGAUAAGGAGAGGUUGAAGAAGAAGAAACUUUCUCAUCUCUUUUUUCUGAUUUCUUGAACGCUGGAUCAAAGGAGCGAAGAUGGUGGUUGCUCCUCUUCUUUGUGAACGCCAUUGUUCGAUUGAGAAGAGAAAUCAAAUGGAUUUUUAGUUGCUCCUCCUCUUCUCCGUGACUAAGUUUAUGAGUUUUCAAAUUGGUGGUUGGAAAAAGAGUAGGAGAAGGGAAAAAUAUUUCAACUCAUGAGCCUUCCUAUAGUGUCUGCACACCAACCUAUAUAGUAGAAGUGUCUCAUACAAGGAUUCACCACUUUCCUCACAACAUCUAAUUAUUUUUGAAAUGUUACAUUUUUGAUUUUUUUUUUCACAGUAUUUAUGAUAUGUUUAGUGUUUCAAGGUUUUAUUUCCGACGGUAUCGAUGUACUAUAUCUAUUAUUGACCCGUGCGUGAGCACGGGAAAGCGGACUAGUCAUCACUAAAAACAGUAUAUUAACAAUAGAAAAAUAUAUACAUUAUCUACAUUAGUCAAAUUCAAAGAGACUUUUAAAAAAAUGGAAUAGGUUUGAAACUCACAUACCAUAGACCUAUGUCGACAGAAAAUUGUAUAGAGAAUGGUUAGGUCACUGCAUUUUUUUUGAGUUUAUAGAUAUUUAAGUAUAAGAAAUACCGAAGAUUAAUACGGUAGCAUCAAUGUACAUCGAUGGUAUGCACUCUGACAUCACAUUAAAAAUGGGAGUACUCAAAUAUAAGUGUAACCUUUCCUGCUUGAUU